GAUUCUACACGGCUCCACUACUCUCUGGCAAGUCGCGACAACGGCCACCACUCCACUCUCUAUAACCAACUCCACGUGGCCCUGAACGACCCCUGAUGCCACUACUCUCCGUAACAAACUCUAGGCGGUUCUGAGCAGCCCACUACCAGGCGGUUACAGACAUCGCUGUCAAUCGGUUACACUCUCUGUCUAUAAAUAAGGACCCC
rnacentral:lncRNA from 1 species